rnacentral:rRNA from 1 species
GGGUCAGUAGGUUGGUCGUGCCACCGGUACGUACUGGUCUCACUGAUUCCUCCUUCCUGAAGAACCGUAAUGCCAUUAAUUUGGUGUUGCGGGGAAACAGGACUGAUACUUUGAAAAAAUUAGAGUGUUUAAAGCAAGCUAACGCUUGAAUACAUUAGCAUGGAAUAAUGAAAUAGGACGAUCGAUCCUAUUUUGUUAGUUUCUAGGAUUGACGUA